rnacentral:rRNA from 1 species
GACGAACGCUGGCGGCGUGCUUAACACAUGCAAGUCGAACGAAGUGGCGAACGGGUGAGUAACGCGUAAUCAACCUGCCCUUCAGAGGGGGACAACAGUUGGAAACGACUGCUAAUACCGCAUACUGAAGAGGGAGAUUGCGUCGGAUUAGCUAGUUGGGGGGGUAACGGCCCACCAAGGCGAUGAGCAGUAGGCUGGCCGGGAGGAUGAACGGCCACAAUGGGACUGGGAAACGGCCCAGACUCCUACGGGAGGCAGCAGUGGGGAAUCUUCCGAAAUGGACGAAAGUCUGACGGAGCAACGCCGCGGGAGUGAUGACGGGCUUCGGGUUGUAAAGCUCUGUUAAUCGGGACGCGGUACCGGAAUAGAAAGCCACGGCUAACUACGUGCCAGCAGCCGCGGUAAUAC